GAAAUGCGAUAAGUAAUGUGAAUUGCAGAAUUCAGUGAACCAUCGAAUCUUUGAACGCACAUUGCGCCCUUUGGUAUUCCUUAGGGCAUGCCUGUUCGAGCGUCAUUUGUAACCUCAAGCUCAGCUUGGUGUUGGGUGUCUGUCCCCGCCCCGCGCGGGGACUCGCCUCAAAAACAUUGGCGGCCGGUACGUUGGCUUCGAGCGCAGCAGAAACGCGAACUCGAGGCCCGACGGAUCGGCGACCAGAAGUCACUUCUUCCACAGCUUGACCUCGGAUCAGGUAGGGAUACCCGCUGAACUUAAGC
rnacentral:misc_RNA from 1 species